rfam:Mycoplasma capricolum subsp. capricolum ATCC 27343, complete genome.
AGCCGCGAUAAGAAUAACAUCUGAAUGAGUUAGGACCGGAAGGUAGCAGCUAUAAGGAAAAGUGUUCUGUAUUGCGGUU